rnacentral:misc_RNA from 1 species
UGUCAUCCUCACCUGGGACCCUUUGCAAUCAAAUUGCUUGAAAGUUGUUUCUUCGCCCCUUAGCCACACCUCUAUAUCCACCAUUUCUUCCAUAAUAUGAUAUCAAAUUCAAAUCUCAUCAUCUUGUAGAGUUUUAGUUUCCACCGAUAGAUCAGAUAUGUACGUGUCAAAAACCCAUUUCAUGAUUCCUACAAAGAGGAUAACAUAUGCACAUGCACACUUACAAUUCGGACAUUUUUAGCCAUCCAAAUGUCUCAAAACUCAAAAGCUCUCCGUUAACAUACUGUAAAUGACUUCUAAAUGUUAGCCACCGGGGAGCUCACUGCCAACAGCAUCAGGCAGCCAGAGCUGAGUCAGUCUGAGCAAACCACACCAAGAGUCUUAACCAUAUUAUCUACUGUGAUAGAGAAGCUAGUGGCUCGAAAUGAUCGACUUGUGGAUGGCUUGAACCAUCAGAUGAAUGGGAUGAGCUCUGGCUUGACUAGGCUUGGGAAGAGCUUAAACGCAUUUCAUGGUGUAAGAGCACCUAGUAUAAGCGUACAAAAAUACUUGGAGAGGCUAUACAAGUACACAAAUUGCAGCCCAUCCUGUUUUGUGGUUGGAUAUGUGUACAUGGAUAGGCUGGCUCACAAGCACCCUGACUCUCUUGUGAUAUCAUUGAAUGUGCAUAGGUUGCUGGUUACAAGUGUCUUGGUUGCUUCUAAGAUGCUGGAUGAUGUGCACUAUAACAAUGCAUUCUAUGCAAGGGUAGGGGGAGUGAGCAAUGCAGAAUUGAACAGGUUGGAAAUUGAAUUCCUGUUCCUCUUAGAUUUUGGAGUUAUGGUCAGUUCUCGAAUUUUUGAGAACUAUUGCUUGCACUUGGAAAAAGAGAUGAUGUUGAAUGUUGCAGUUCAGAAAAUUGAAAGAGUAAUACCCUCCAAUUCCUUGGAUGAUGUAACAGAAAUAUCAGUGGAAGAUACACAAAACUUGUCACCACCUCAAGUAGUAGUGGACUGACUCUUUUGAGCUAAUUUCUUUCGUUGUUCUCCCCUUCUUGCUUGUCUUUGUAAAAUUCUUGUAACUUCGGCCACGGAGUUGGAUAUUGACGCAGAUUUGGUAUCUAACAAAGCCAAAUGGCAAUAAAGAAUCUAUAUAAUUGAUCUCAACUAGUUUGGAAUUAAAUUUUAGUUGUUGUUGUGUUGAGGCCAUGGAGUUGUUAUAAUCUUGCAAUUAGAUCAAGUGUUUCAGCUGUGCCUUCUUCACAAAACUGAAGAAAUGACAAAAGAAUGAAAUUGGUAAAUGGAAAUUGGAUUCACUGAAUUGCUAGAAUUUUUCUCUGUGCUAUAUUCAUUUUGUUUUGAAAUUUAAAGGUUUUUAAGUAUUCACAUGAUCAGGGCUCAUCGGGCUUCUUAGGGUAGAACUCAUCUUUCUUGUUGAAAUCCCAAGUUUUGUAUGGAAGAACACAAAAUCUAUCAGAUAUAAAUUUUUUUUCAACAUUUAUUAUUGACUCUAAA